AUUGAACGCUGGCGGCAGGCCUAACACAUGCAAGUCGAACGGUAGCACAGAGAGCUUGCUCUCGGGUGACGAGUGGCGGACGGGUGAGUAAUGUCUGGGAAACUGCCCGAUGGAGGGGGAUAACUACUGGAAACGGUAGCUAAUACCGCAUAACGUCGCAAGACCAAAGUGGGGGACCUUCGGGCCCCACACCAUCGUAUGUGCCCAGAUGGGAUUAGCUAGUAGGUGGGGUAAUGGCUCACCUAGGCGACGAUCCCUAGCUGGUCUGAGAGGAUGACCAGCCACACUGGAACUGAGACACGGUCCAGACUCCUACGGGAGGCAGCAGUGGGGAAUAUUGCACAAUGGGCGCAAGCCUGAUGCAGCCAUGCCGCGUGUAUGAAGAAGGCCUUCGGGUUGUAAAGUACUUUCAGCGGGGAGGAAGGCGGUGAAGUUAAUAGCUUCACCGAUUGACGUUACCCGCAGAAGAAGCACCGGCUAACUCCGUGCCAGCCGCCGCCGUAA
rnacentral:rRNA from 1 species